CUUGUACCUGGUGGCGAGUGGCGAACGGGUGAGUAAUACAUCGGAACGUACCUUAUCGUGGGGGAUAACGCAGCGAAAGCUGUGCUAAUACCGCAUACGCCCUGAGGGGGAAAGCGGGGGAUCGAAAGACCUCGCGCGAUUAGAGCGGCCGAUGCUUGAUUAGCUUGUUGGUGGGGUAAAAGCCCACCAAGGCGACGAUCAAUAGCUGGUCUGAGAGGACGAUCAGCCACACUGGGACUGAGACACGGCCCAGACUCCUACGGGAGGCAGCAGUGGGGAAUUUUGGACAAUGGGGGCAACCCUGAUCCAGCAAUGCCGCGUGAGUGAAGAAGGCCUUCGGGUUGUAAAGCUCUUUUGUCAGGGAAGAAACACCGGCUCU
rnacentral:rRNA from 1 species